CCUACGGGUGGCAGCAGUGGGGAAUAUUGCGCAAUGGGCGAAAGCCUGACGCAGCGACGCCGCGUGAGGGAUGAAGGUCUUCGGAUCGUAAACCUCUGUCAGCGGGGAAGAACGGUCACUGUGCUAAUCAGCAGUGAAUUGACGGUACCUGCAAAGGAAGCACCGGCUAACUCCGUGCCAGCAGCCGCGGUAAUACGGAGGGUGCGAGCGUUAAUCGGAAUUACUGGGCGUAAAGCGCUCGUAGGCGGUAUGUCAAGUCAAGGGUGAAAUCCCCGGGCUCAACGUGGGAACUGCCUUUGAAACGGGCAAACUGGAGUGUGUGAGAGGAGAGUGGAAUUCCAGGUGUAGGGGUGAAAUGCGUAGAUAUGUGGAGGAACAUCAGUGGCGAAGGCGACUAUCUGGCACAUAACUGACGCUGAGGAGCGAAAGCGUGGGUAGCAAACAGGAUUAGAUACCCCAGUAGUC
rnacentral:rRNA from 1 species